rnacentral:rRNA from 1 species
AUUGAACGCUGGCGGCAGGCCUAACACUUGCAAGUCGAGCGGCAGCGGGAAAGUAGCUUGCUACUUUUGCCGGCGAGCGGCGGACGGGUGAGUAAUGCCUGGGAAAUUGCCCAGUCGAGGGGGAUAACAGUUGGAAACGACUGCUAAUACCGCAUACGCCCUACGGGGGAAAGCAGGGGACCUUCGGGCCUUGCGCGAUUGGAUAUGCCCAGGUGGGAUUAGCUAGUUGGUGAGGUAAUGGCUCACCAAGGCGACGAUCCCUAGCUGGUCUGAGAGGAUGAUCAGCCACACUGGAACUGGGACACGGUCCAGACUCCUACGGGAGGCAGCAGUGGGGAAUAUUGCACAAUGGGGGAAACCCUGAUGCAGCCAUGCGGGGUGUGUGAAGAAGGCCUUCGGGUUGUAAAGCACUUUCAGCGAGGAGGAAAGGUUGAUGCCUAAUACGUAUCAACUGUGACGUUACUCGCAGAAGAAGCACCGGCUAACUCCGUGCCAGCCGCCGCCGUAA